UACGUAGGCGGAAAAUUAAGUCAGUGGUGAAAUCCUGCAGCUUAACUGUAGAACUGUCAUUGAUACUGGUUUUCUUGAAUACAGUUGAGGUAGGCGGAAUGUGUAAUGUAGCGGUGAAAUGCUUAGAUAUUACACAGAACACCGAUUGCGAAGGCAACUUACUAAACUGUUAUUGACGCUGAGGUACGAAAGCGUGGGGAGCGAACAGGAUUAGAUACCCUGGUAGUCC
rnacentral:rRNA from 1 species